GUUAAGCGACUAAGCGUACACGGUGGAUGCCCUGGCAGUCAGAGGCGAUGAAGGACGUGCUAAUCUGCGAUAAGCGCCGGUAAGGUGAUAUGAACCGUUAUAACCGGCGAUUUCCGAAUGGGGAAACCCAGUGUGACUCGUCACACUAUCAUUAACUGAAUCCAUAGGUUAAUGAGGCGAACCGGGGGAACUGAAACAUCUAAGUACCCCGAGGAAAAGAAAUCAACCGAGAUUCCCCCAGUAGCGGCGAGCGAACGGGGAGGAGCCCAGAGCCUGAAUCAGCAUGUGUGUUAGUGGAAGCGUCUGGAAAGGCGCGCGAUACAGGGUGACAGCCCCGUACACAAAAGCGCAUGUGCUGUGAGCUCGAUGAGUAGGGCGGGACACGUGGUAUCCUGUCUGAAUAUGGGGGGACCAUCCUCCAAGGCUAAAUACUCCUGACUGACCGAUAGUGAACCAGUACCGUGAGGGAAAGGCGAAAAGAACCCCGGCGAGGGGAGUGAAAAAGAACCUGAAACCGU
rnacentral:rRNA from 1 species